rnacentral:rRNA from 1 species
UACGAAGGGGGCUAGCGUUGCUCGGAAUUACUGGGCGUAAAGGGUGUGCAGGCGGGCUGUUAAGUGGUGUAUGAAAUAUCCCGGCUCAACCGGGAGAGGUUAUGCCAGACUGGCAGUCUAGAGAGCGAGAGAGGGACGUGGAAUUCCGGGUGUAGUGGUGAAAUGCGUAGAGAUCCGGAGGAACCCCAGAGGCGAAGGCGGCGUCCUGGCUCGCAUCUGACGCUCAGACACGACAGCAUGGGGAGCGAACGGG